rnacentral:tmRNA from 1 species
GCAGGCCGUUAGCCGAAAUCUUAUAGAACGACUGCGCUCGGAGAUGCUUAUGUGUCGCUAUUUUCGGACGGGGGUUCGAAUCCCCCCGCCUCCACCAUACAUAACAAAAAAUGCACCCCUUGUGGGUGCUUUUUUGUUAUGUACAGGCUGGUGCAGGAUUUGAACUUGCAAGUCCGAACGGACGGAGGGGGCGAAGGCCGAGCGGAGCGAAGCGAAGGGAGGCCGCUCGGAAUCCGACCGCUAAACAAGCGAGCGAAGCGAGCAAAGGAAAGGGAGGAUUCCGAUUAUCCCCCCGCCCUAAUGUGGGUGCUUUUUUGUUAUGUACAGGCUGGUGCAGGAUUUGAACUUGCAAGUCCGAACGGACGGAGGGGGCGAAGGCCGAGCGGAGCGAA